rnacentral:rRNA from 1 species
AUUGAACGCUGGCGGCAGGCCUAACACAUGCAAGUCGAACGAGUGGCGGACGGGUUAGUAAUGUCUGGGAAACUGCCCGAUGGAGGGGGAUAACUACUGGAAACGGUAGCUAAUACCGCAUACCAUCGGAUGUGCCCAGAUGGGAUUAGCUAGUAGGUGGGGUAAUGGCUCACAUAGGCGACGAUCCCUAGCUGGUCUGAGAGGAUGACCAGCCAAAAUGGAAAUGAGACACGGUCCAGAAGCCUACGGGAGGCAGAAGUGGGGAAUAUUGAACGAUGGGCGCAAGCCUGAUGCAGUCAUGCCGCGGGUAUGAAGAAGGCCUUCGGGUUGUAAAGUACUUUCAGCGAGGAGGCGUUACUCGCAGAAGAAGCACCGGCUAACGCCGUGCCAGCAGCCGCGGUAAUUC